rnacentral:rRNA from 1 species
AAUCAACGCUGGCGGCGUGCCUCAGACAUGCAAGUCGAACGAUUAAACUUUCCUUCGGGGAAGAUAUAGAGUGGCGCACGGGUGAGUAACACGUAAGUAAUCUACCCUUGGGUGGGGAAUAACAUCGGGAAACCGAUGCUAAUACCGCAUAAUGCAGCGGCUUCUUAUGAAGACAGUUGUUAAAGCAUUUAUGUGCCUGAGGAGGAGCUUGCGGCAGAUUAGCAGUUGGUAAGGUAAUGGCUUACCAAGGCGACGAUCUGUAGCCGACCUGAGAGGGUGGUCGGUCACACUGACACUGAA